UAAAAAUUUAAGCUAUAUUAUUUAAGAUUUUUAUAAAAGUUAAUUUUAACUUUGAUAUUUAUUUAAAGUUUUAAUUUUAUAUAUAAAUUUUUAUUUAAUUAAUAUUAAAUUUUAAAAAUUUUUAUUUAAUAAUAAAUAAUUUUAAAAAUUAGAGAAAUUUAGAUUUAGAAAUAUUAAGAGAAUUAUUGUUAAAAUUUGUGCCAGCAAUCGCGGUUAUACAAAUAAUAAAAGUAAAUAUUUAUUUAUAUAAAUUAGUAUAUAAAAAUAUUAUAUAAAUAUAAAAUUAAAUUAGUUAGGUAAAAUUAAUUAAAUUUAAAUAAUUUUAUUUUUAUAAAUAAUAUGAAGUUUAAAAAAUUAUAAUUUUAAACUAGGAUUAGAUACCCUAUUAUUUAAAUAUAAAUUAAUUAAUAUAAAAGUAGUAAUAGUUAUAGUCUUAAAACUUAAAAAAUUUGGCAGUAUUUUAAUCUAAUUAGAGGAACCUGUUUAUUAAUUGAUAAUCCACAAUAAAUUUUACUUAAUUUUUUAAAAAUUUAUAUAUCAUUGUUAUAAAAAUUUUUUUAGGAAUAAAAUUUUAAAUUUUAAAUCUAAAUUUAUAUCAAAUCAAGAUGUAGUUUAUGAUUAAGAAUAGAAUGGGUUAUAAUAAAUAAAUUUUUGAAUUAUUUUAUGAAAUAAAAAUAUGAAAUUAGAUUUAAAAGUAAUUAAAUUUAUUUAGAUUUAAUGAUUAAAGAAACUAAAAUAUGUACAUAUUGCCCGUCACUUUCAUUGUUUUUUAAAUUGAAAUAAGUCGUAACAUAGUAGAAAUACUGGAAAGUAUUUCUAGAAAGAU
rnacentral:ncRNA from 1 species